rnacentral:rRNA from 1 species
GACGAACCGUGCGAACGUUAUUCGGAAUCACUGGGCUUAAAGCGCGUGUAGGCGGGACGGCACGUCGGUCGCUGAAAGCCCCCGGCUCAACCGGGGAGGGCGGCUGGAAACUGUGCUUCUUGAGGGCGAUAGAGGAGUGUGGAAUUCCUGGUGUAGCGGUGAAAUGCGUAGAUAUCUGGAGGAAUACCGGUGGCGAAGGCGACAUCCUGGACCGGCAUUGACGCUGAGGCGCGAAAGCCAGGGGAGCAAACGGG